rnacentral:rRNA from 1 species
UGAGGAAUAUUGGUCAAUGGGUGCAAGCCUGAACCAGCCAUCCCGCGUGAAGGACGACUGCCCUAUGGGUUGUAAACUUCUUUUGUAUAGGGAUAAACCUACCCUCGUGAGGGUAGCUGAAGGUACUAUACGAAUAAGCACCGGCUAACUCCGUGCCAGCAGCCGCGGUAAUACGGAGGGUGCAAGCGUUAUCCGGAUUUAUUGGGUUUAAAGGGUCCGUAGGCGGACUUAUAAGUCAGUGGUGAAAGCCUGUCGCUUAACGAUAGAACUGCCAUUNAUACUGUAAGUCUUGAGUAUAUUUGAGGUAGCUGGAAUAAGUAGUGUAGCGGUGAAAUGCAUAGAUAUUACUUAGAACACCAAUUGCGAAGGCAGGUUACCAAGAUAUAACUGACGCUGAGGGACGAAAGCGUGGGGAGCGAAC